UAUGACGCCUUGGGAUGAGAAUGCCUUGAUAUUUUAUUUAUACAUACUAGGUUGUAUUGACUUUUUUUUGUAUAUUCAGACUUCGCCAAAUGUUUGUAACAGAAUUGCAAACUUUACAUAAAAUAAAUGUAAAACAAAUGUAAAACAAAUGAUGUUUUACCCCCCUGAGCUUGAUUAUCAUAAUUGAUCACACAUUUGAAACAAUGAUGUAAAUAUAAACAAACAAACCUAUUUUUUACCCUCUUUGUGGAAAGUGCCUGAUUUGCAGCUCACAUGUCAUUCUGUUUUGGGUUUCUCAAGUCUAAAUAUGUCAAAUUGUACACGUAUUAUAUAUAUAUGAAUGUAAAUACCACUUUUUUACUGUUUUUGUGUAUAAGUUAUAGUAAUAUGUUUAUUUUGGAUCUGUAAAACAUUAAACCUAGUGUAGGACAUUGAGUUAUUUGAAGGAUAAUCCAUCCAUCCAUCCAUAAAGCUUUAUGUCCUUAGAUGAUGUGUUUGCAUUUGGAUAGUUCUUCUGGUGCAUUCUGGGAAUGCUUGUAUGGUUGACCAUUUCUCAUUGUCGACAUUUGCAACACAUUUGACUCUCCUAUUGUGGCAUUUCUGAGUGGAACAGUGUAAGGCAGGGAUAGGCAACUUCGGUCCUGGAGGGCCACUGUCCUGCAGAGUUUAGCUCCAACCCUAAUUAAACACACCUGAACAAGGCAAUCAAUGUUUUCAGGAUUAGAUAGAUACAGGCAGGUGAGGUUUUUUUAUCAGGGCUGAAGCUAAACUCUGCAGGACAGUGACCUUCCAGGACCGAAGUUGCCUAUCCCUGGUGUAAGAAGAAAGAAGGGUUUGUAACGAAGAAUCUGCUGUUCCUCACCGAUAACUGGACGAAACUCCAGAACCCCUCCUGCCUGCAGCCCCACGUGCCACUGCUGUCCCUGAUGGGCCGACGAAGGACUCGUGUCUGACAGAUACACCUGCCACUCAUUCUGCCCCGCCAUUUCCUCAAAGGUGCACCUCACCUGCAGGUAACGGUCCAGAACAGAGAGGAGAAGAUCCGGGACUUCACUGUCCCGACUGCCUUCACACUCACUCUGAAAGGAGAGCAUGACCCUGCACAGGCCCUGGCCGUCCGCUCUGUUCUGCAGGAUCUGCGUGAGAAAAGCAGCGGUGUCGUGCAGGAGGGCCGCCACGCGAGCCACAGGGCCCGGGUCGUCCUGCAGCGGCCCUUGCAAAUACCUCUCCAGACCGUCCACGAUGAUCAGGGAUGGAGGAGACGCGGCAUCGGACGCCAGCUCGUGAAGGGACGCCACAUCCUCAACCAGCUCCUCCAAAGUCUUCACAUACACAAACUUCACAUUCUGGAAGAGAAGAUGCAUGAAAACGCAUUAUAUUUGGUAGACAUUUGUAUUAUUAAUUAAUUAAACAUUGUGAAGACAUUGUA